rnacentral:rRNA from 1 species
GACAGAGGGUGCAAACGUUGUUCGGAAUUACUGGGCGUAAAGCGCGUGUAGGCGGCUAAGUAAGUCGGGCGUGAAAUCCCACGGCUCAACCGUGGAAGUGCACUCGAAACUGCAUAGCUAGAGUCCUGGAGAGGAAGGUGGAAUGCUUGGUGUAGAGGUGAAAUUCGUAGAUAUCAAGCGGAACACCGGUGGCGAAGGCGGCCUUCUGGACAGUGACUGACGCUGAGACGGCGAAAGCGUGGGGAGCAAACAGGG